rnacentral:lncRNA from 1 species
CCAGCCAGCAACGGCAAACAGCGCAGGUCCGCUUCCCGUCUGUGGAAGCUUUGUUCUUUCGCUCUUGACAAUAAAUCUUAAUGCUGCUCUCUCUUUGGGUCCAUGCCAUCUUUAAGAGCUGUGACACUUACAGCCAAGGUCCGGGGCUCCAUUCUUGAAGUCAGCGAGACCACGAAUCCACCGGAAGGAGCAAACUCUGGACAUGGCAUGUGCUUUUGCAGGAAGGACGCUGGACUCUUGCACUAUAAGUUGAAAACAUCGCUUAUAAACAAUACAUCACAGCACACUUGCAGAGAGAGCACUGGUUCAUCAAAAUAAGAUAUGAUCAAGGUACAAAAGAGUUAAAGAAGCUAUUUAUUUUAAUGUUUCCUUGGAGAGCACACUUGUUAUUGUAUGUAUGCAAAAGAUGAUCUUACUCUUGAGAGCCACUAGAACUCUUUGAAGAAAAAAAAAUGCUAUUUGCUAUAGGGAAAUCUUUCUGGAAAAGUAAUAAUUUCACCUUUGAGUCAGCUUCCCUGGACUCUUGCCUCAUACAUCUUCAGCCAAGGUCAGUCCAUUAUGAAAAUCCACUCUCCCUUCCCCAUGAAAGAACAUUCGAGGCAUACUUAUUAUAUUAACUGAAUUGUUACAUAUGUAUUAAAAGUUUAUAGUAUGUGUUAGCAUUUAUUUAUUUUUUGUAAGAUGUCUUUCCAGGAAUAUAUAACCCUGGUUCAUAAUAUUGUGCCCUUUGUAUCCAAGAUUUGAUAUAUGUGAGUAAACAUACAACUGUCUAUCUGGGGGCAAGUAAAUCGAAAACCAAGAAUCAUCUCAAGUGUUGGAAAUCAUAUGGUAUAGAAUUCAUUACCAUUUGUGAACUGGAAUGGGCAGCAAGAUAUUUGAAUAAAAAUUAAACUAGUUCUAUAAUUGGUGAUUUGAAAUUUUUUGAAAAAGCCACGGCAGUGAAAUAGUUUGGAUGUCCCCUCAAAAUCUCAUGCUGAAUUGUAAUCCCCAGUGUUGGAGGUGGGGACUGGUGGGAGGUGUUUGGGUCACUAUAGUGCGUUUUCAUGAGAUCUGGUCAUUUAAAAUCUGUAGCACCUCCCUCCCCUUCUUGCUCCUGUUUUUUCCAUGUGAAGAUGCCUGCCCCAGCUUUGCCUUCCACCAUGAGUAAAAGCUUCCCAAGUCCUCCCCAGAAGCAGAUGCUGGCGCUAUGCUUCUGGUACAGCCUGAAAAACCUUGAGCCAAUUAAACCUCAGUGAGCUCAAGAUGUCUUUGUUGAAACAGAACCUCCCGAAGUUACAGUAUUGGUUUUGGGGCUCCACACAGAGAACACAUCACGGAAGCUAUAAUUGAGGAAGACAAAGCUGUCAGGACGACACCAAGAGAGUUAGAAAGCCCAAGAGUGGAGCAUUCUUCACCAUGAUUCCACCUGACACUUGGCUGAAAGCAUUUUGCACUAAUUUGCUUUGUGCCCGUUCAGACAAUCUAAAAAGAAAGGAUGGGGGGACAACAAGUGUCUAUUACACAGAAUAAACAGCCUCUGGCAAAUGAAUACAUUUUACACACUUGUGCUUUUGGAGGGAUGGGGUAGUGAUGAGGGGAAGGGGAAUGGAGGAGGAGAAGUCAAGGAUUAGAGGUCUCUUCAGCAUCUCAGGACUGCCUCUCUCUCUCUGUGGUCACAGGGGUAGGUUUGGUCCACAUGGCAGACAUGAAACUCAAGAUACAGCCCUGGCGUAUACGGGUUGGGAGGCCAGUGCUGCCUCUGGUGGUCCCCCCAGACCUGCAAUUCAUAUUUUGAAUGGGUUUAAAGCCUACUUGGCAAUUACUUUUAUCCUCUAAUGAAAUAGAUUUGAACCACUUUCCCUUGAUUAUAUUUUAAAUGUUUACCCCCAUAUAAAUAUAACUGCUCUGAGGUGGGAGGGGUUAAGCCUCUCCUAUGAAUCAAUUAAAGA